UACAGUGUCAGGGUGCUCAUCUUGAACCUGCAUCUUAUCAGUCUGCUCUUUGUCUGUUUUUACUGGAGGGUGCGCGUACACACACACACACACACACACACACACACACACACACACACACACACACACACAGUAGGAGAGUUUGGCCGGUACAGUUAGAUCUUACAGAAGCAGAGGAAGGUGAUACUCCAAAUAUUUUUUUAUCCCAUUAUCUGAAGAUAACAAAGCUCAUUAUAUAUUAUCAGGAGAAAACGCGUUUCCCUUUUUGGGAUUUUUUGUUUGGGCAUUUUACUCUGAUAUGCCCUCAAGGAAUAAUUUUCAAUUCAAUUAUAUCCUUGGCUCUGUGUGAGUGAGGCUGAAGUCAGCCCAGCAGCUUCCUUGUGUGUAAGUAACCAUUUCAACUUCAAGAGCACCUUGCAUUUACCUGCAGAUUCACUUCGGCAGAACUGAGAACACCCGGAAGCCAAGUCAAUGGGGUCAACUGCCGCACCAUAUGCACCACUACAGUACCACUGGAUGUGUUAUACACUACCAACCACUCACAACAGUGUAAAGCACUCUCACUGAGGCUUGGACCUCAGUACAGGAUGAGCCUUACCUGUCUUUGUCCACCGGUGUUCCAUCCACCCAGAUCCAAGUGCCCUCCACCUCCCUGUCAGUCAUCCCGAUCCACGCCACCGCGAUACACUGAAAAAAAGAAGAUGUCAGGCUGUGGUGUCGGGGAGAGUAAAGGUACCUGCUCCUGUCGGCUGUUGAUGAUGACCAGGUCAGCGUUUCUCUGCACACAGUCCUGCCGGCUGUCGUCCCAGCUCUUCCUCUGUGAGGAGAUGUAGUAACAGCUGGAGCCGAACAUCAGCCAGCUCUGCGGACAGCUGUGUUCCAUUGUGUCACCUCCACACACCAACAUCAUGUCACAACACAGAACAAACAGGACAGAACAGUACAGUUUCGCAACAGAGAAUAGGAUGCUGCAAGUCAAAGCUAUAGAUAGAAAGAGCUCUGUAUAGAAGCGUGUACAUAGAUCCUACAUGGUGUCUUACCAGAUGACUUUUGGUUUUUGCGUCUUUAUUUUAGUUUGUCAUUUUCAGGCCUUUAAAGCUCCAUAUUUUCCUCUUCUUCUGUGUUUUAUUUGAAGUGUUGAUCAUGAAGAAGAUAUAUUUGUGGUUUUAACAACAGGUAUGUGAGCCAAUCAAAAGAGAGGAGGCUCUGAAUCAUCAUCAUCACUCCACACAGAUGUCAAGUGAAGACGCUUCAUUUAUUCAUUACACUUUGUCUAAUUUUUGUGACAGAGCUGCAUUCAGUCAUUCAGGUAAAUGUCAGUCCAGUAUUCACUCUCCUUUCAUCUCAAUCACCUCCAGGAAUAAAAAAUAAUGUCUCUUUAGCUGCUAAAUGCUCCAUCAGCAGAUCAUUACCUUUGUCAUUCAGCAGGAACAAACAGUAACUAAGUACGUUUACUUCUGUACUGUACUUCAGUAUAUUUUGCAAUAUCUGUUCUUUACUUGAGUAUUUCUUUUAGAAAUGUCUGACUUUUACUUCUCUACACAAAUAUUGUCCUUUUGACUCCACUACAUUUCUACGAAGGACUCUUACUUUGAAGCAGAGCUUUUAGUCAGUGAAUGAAUGUAUAAUGUACAGUAUAAUAAGAACCAAUCACAGCCAACUCCUCCACUCAUGUGUGAACCUGUCAGUGUCCUAACGAUGGCGACAUUAGAUAAAGAUGAGGCAGGAGAUUCUUCACCAGAGACCAUGGUCUGAUCUGAGGUCUGUGUUUGAGGGUUUACAAAUAAAGAAAGAUUUAUUUAGUUAGAAAGGUUUGCUGAGUUUACCACGACCAGACUAAAUCACUGACAGAAUAAAUAAAUAAAUAAAUAAAUAAAAAGAAAACAACAA